rnacentral:rRNA from 1 species
AUUGAACGCUGGCGGCAGGCCUAACACAUGCAAGUCGAACGGUAACAGGAAGAAGCUUGCUGCUUUGCUGACGAGUGGCGGACGGGUGAGUAAUGGCUGGGAAACUGCCUGAUGGAGGGGGAUAACUACUGGAAACGGUAGCUAAGACCGCAUAACGUCGCAAGACCAAAGGGGGGGACCUGCUGGCCUCGUGGCGUCUGGAGUGCCGAGGUGUGAGUAGCUUGGCGGGGGGGUAACGUCCCACCUAGGCGACGAUCCCUAGAUGGUCUGAGAGGAUGACAGCCGACACUGGAACUGAGACACGGUCAAGACUACUAAGGGAGGCAGCAGAGGGGAAUGUUGCACAAUAGGGGCGAGCAUGAUGCAGCCAGGCCGCGCGUAUGGAGACGGCCUUCGGGUUGUAAAGUCGUUUUAGCGGGGAGGAACGGAGUUAACUUAAUACCAAGGCUGAGUGACGGUAACGGGAGAAGAAGCACCGGCUAACUACGUG